rnacentral:rRNA from 1 species
GAUGAACGCUGGCGGCGUGCCUAAUACAUGCGGGUCGAGCGAACAGAUAAGGAGCUUGCUCCUUUGACGUUAGCGGCGGACGGGUGAGUAACACGUGGGUAACCUACCUAUAAGACUGGAAUAACUCCGGGAAACCGGGGCUAAUGCCGGAUAACAUUUAGAACCGCAUGGUUCUAAAGUGAAAGAUGGUUUUGCUAUCACUUAUAGAUGGACCCGCGCCGUAUUAGCUAGUUGGUAAGGUAACGGCUUACCAAGGCAACGAUACGUAGCCGACCUGAGAGGGUGAUCGGCCACACUGGAACUGAGACACGGUCCAGACUCCUACGGGAGGCAGCAGUAGGGAAUCUUCCGCAAUGGGCGAAAGCCUGACGGAGCAACGCCGCGUGAGUGAUGAAGGUCUUCGGAUCGUAAAACUCUGUUAUUAGGGAAGAACAAAUGUGUAAGUAACUGUGCACAUCUUGACGGUACCUAAUCAGAAAGCCACGGCUAACUACGUG